ACUCUAAUAGUUUAUUAAAACAUUGGU
rnacentral:tRNA from 1 species